rnacentral:rRNA from 1 species
ACACGGACCAAGAAGUCUUGAAUGUGCGCGAGUCAAAGGGCUGUCUAAACCCCAAGGCGAAACGAAAGUGAAAUUAUUGUUUUGUUUUAAUAAUUCAUUGGGCUGAUCCGGUUCGGGGUGCGCGAGCGGGAGCUUCCUCUGGUGCCUCGACGGCGACGACGGUGGUGGGGCGGUUCUGAUUCUUUCACCUCCUCUCACUCACUCACUUACGUAGUGGUGGGGGGCGGUGGCGGUUUGAGGGGUCGCUCUCCGCCGUCGUUGUUGCUGUUGGCCGAAUCCACGCUCCUUAAACUCUCCCCCCGUUUUGUCACCCGUAAAUAUGUGGACGGCGCAAGCCCGGGGCUCGCAAUGCUCCUCUUCGCGCAAUUAUGUCUCGAGAGGAACGUCGCCGAAAAAUCAUCUUAAGGCGUUGUUCUCGACUUAAUCGCGGAGACGUGCAGCGGGUACCUUGAGCGCACAUACUAGGACCCGAAAGAUGGUGAUCUAUGCGUGGCGAGGAUGAAGCCAGGGGAAACUCUGGUGGAAGUCCGUAGCGAUUCUGACGUGCAAAUCGAUCGUCGGAGCUGCGUAUAGGGGCGAAAGACCUAUCGAACCAUCUAGUAG